rnacentral:rRNA from 1 species
AAGGAAGAUUAAUACAAGAUGGCAUCAUGAGUCCGCAUGUUCACAUGAUUAAAGGUAUUCCGGUAGACGAUGGGGAUGCGUUCCAUUAGAUAGUAGGCGGGGUAACGGCCCACCUAGUCUUCGAUGGAUAGGGGUUCUGAGAGGAAGGUCCCCCACAUUGGAACUGAGACACGGUCCAAACUCCUACGGGAGGCAGCAGUGAGGAAUAUUGGUCAAUGGGCGAGAGCCUGAACCAGCCAAGUAGCGUGAAGGAUGACUGCCCUAUGGGUUGUAAACUUCUUUUAUAAAGGAAUAAAGUCGGGUAUGGAUACCCGUUUGCAUGUACUUUAUGAAUAAGGAUCGGCUAACUCCGUGCCAGCAGCCGCGGUAAUACGGAGGAUCCGAGCGUUAUCCGGAUUUAUUGGGUUUAAAGGGAGCGUAGAUGGAUGUUUAAGUCAGUUGUGAAAGUUUGCGGCUCAACCGUAAAAUUGCAGUUGAUACUGGAUAUCUUGAGUGCAGUUGAGGCAGGCGGAAUUCGUGGUGUAGCGGUGAAAUGCUUAGAUAUCACGAAGAACUCCGAUUGCGAAGGCAGCCUGCUAAGCUGCAACUGA